rnacentral:rRNA from 1 species
AGUCGGACGCGAAAGCCCCGCAAGGGGCCGGUAGAGUGGCGCACGGGUGAGUAACACGUGGAUAACCUGCCUGGCAGAGGGGACUAACCUCCCGAAAGGGGGGCUAAUGCCGCAUAAGACCUCUAGGCGCAAGUCUGGGGGUUGAAAGGGGAGACCCGCUGGCAGAGGGGUCCGCGCCUGAUUAGCUAGUUGGUGAGGUAACGGCUCACCAAGGCUGCGAUCAGUAGCCGUCCUGAGAGGGAGCACGGCCACACUGGAACUGAGACACGGUCCAGACUCCUACGGGAGGCAGCAGUGGGGAAUUUUUGGCAAUGGGGGCAACCCUGACCAAGCAACGCCGCGUGGGUGAGGAAGUACCUUGGUACGUAAAGCCCUUUCGGCAGGGACGAAGAAGGUGACGGUACCUGCAGAAGAAGCCCCGGCUAACUCCGUGCCAGCAGCCGCGGUAAUACGGGGGGGGCGAGCGUUGUUCGGAAUCACUGGGCGUAAAGGGCGCGUAGGCGGCCCGCACAAGUCUGCGGUGAAAACCUCCGGCUUAACCGGGGGCCGGCCGUGGAAACUGUCGGGCUGGAGGCUGGGAGAGGGUAGCGGAAUUCCCGGUGUAGCGGUGAAAUGCGUAGAGAUCGGGAGGAACACCGGUGGCGAAGGCGGCUGCCUGGACCAGUCCUGACGCUGAGGCGCGAAAGCUAGGGGAGCAAACAGGAUUAGAUACCCUGGUAGUCCUAGCCCUAAACGAUGGAUACUGGCUGUGGGGGGUAGCCAAUCCCCCCGUGGCGAAGCUAACGCAUUAAGUAUCCCGCCUGGGGA